AAUGCAAAUAUUUAAAAUAAUUGAGAUUUCACUAUCAUUAAACGAGAGUUACUCGAAUGAGCUAUUUUUAGCAGUGGCAAAAUAGAUAAAUAACUUGAAAUAACUUGAAAACACGUAUAAGAAUAAGAAAUCGUAAAGCUACCGUACGUCGCAUCGUUUAUAAUAAUCAUAUGCAUAUGCGCGUUGGUAUUCGUUCGGAUUCCGUGAUUAAUGCGAGGGGAGCGGAGGGGGACUCUCUAUUAAUCUUCGUCGUUUAAGGUGAUCAGUUCCGUCCGGCUUAUUACGAGUCCGGGCGUUCAGUUCUUGUCACCGGGGACGUUUUCGAACGGAAUUUCAAAAAUCUCCCCAAUCGGUUAUAAAUCAAAAUAAAUUCUCCGAUCCCGGUGAUUCGAUCGCGGC